GUGCUUUUCUUAAGCCUCCUGCUCCUGGAGCACAGCACAUAUACUAAAAUUGGAACGAUACAGAGAAAAUUGCGCAGGGGCCAUGCUAAAGAUGACAUGCAAAUUCGUGAUUACAUGAGAAUCUCA
ensembl:snRNA U6 U6 spliceosomal RNA